CAAUAGCGUAUAUUUAAGUUGUUGCAGUUAAAAAGCUCGUAGUUGGAUUUCGGGUGGGACGCAGCGGUCUCGCAUUGCGUUUGUACUGCUGCAGCCCUCCUUCUUGCCGGGGGCGGCCUCUCGGACUUCACUGUCUGGGGGUCAGAAUCGGCGAUGUUACUUUGAGUAAAUUAGAGUGUUCAAAGCAAGCUUACGCUCUGAAUAUAAUAGCAUGGGAUAACACGACAGGACUCUGGCCUAUCGUGUUGGUCUAUAGGACCAGAGUAAUGAUUAAGAGGGACAGUCGGGGGCAUUCGUAUUCCGUUGUCAGAGGUGAAAUUCUUGGAUUUGUUAAAGACUAACGUAUGCGAAAGCAUUUGCCAAGGAUGUUUNCAUUAA
rnacentral:rRNA from 1 species